CCUACGGGAGGCAGCAGUAGGGAAUCUUCCACAAUGGGCGAAAGCCUGAUGGAGCAACGCCGCGUGGGUGAAGAAGGUCUUCGGAUCGUUAAACCCUGUUGUUAGAGAAGAAAGUGCGUGAGAGUAACUGUUCACGUUUCGACGGUAUCUAACCAGAAAGCCCCGGCUAACUACGUGCCAGCAGCCGCGGUAAUACGUAGGUGGCAAGCGUUAUCCGGAUUUAUUGGGCGUAAAGGGAGCGCAGGCGGGCUUUUAAGUCUGAUGUGAAAGCCUUCGGCUUAACCGGAGUAGUGCAUUGGAAACUGGGGGACUUGAGUGCAGAAGAGGAGAGUGGAACUCCAUGUGUAGCGGUGAAAUGCGUAGAUAUAUGGAAGAACACCAGUGGCGAAGGCGGCUCUCUGGUCUGUAACUGACGCUGAGGUUCGAAAGCGUGGGUAGCAAACAGGAUUAGAUACCCGUGUAGUC
rnacentral:rRNA from 1 species